GACGAACGCUGGCGGCGUGCCUAAUACAUGCAAGUCGAACGCAGUGGGGACGGGGGAGUAACACGUGGGUAACCUCCCAUCAGAGGGGAUAACACUUGGAAACAGGUGCUAAACCGAUACUGAUGGAUGGACACGCGGUGCAUUAGCUAGUUGGUCAGUUAACGGCUGACCAAGGCCACGAUGCAUAGCCGCCCUGCAAGGGUGAUCGGCCCCACUUGGCCUGCGACACAGCCCAGCCUCCUGCGGUCGGCAGCAGUAUGGAAUCUUCGGCAAUGGACGAACGUCUGACCGCGCAACGCCGCGUGAGUGAAGAAGGUUUUCGGAUCGUCAAACUCUGUUGUUAGAUAAGCGGUAUCUACCCAGAAAGCCACGGCUAACUACGUGCCAGCAGCCGCGGUAAUUC
rnacentral:rRNA from 1 species